rnacentral:rRNA from 1 species
AUGCCUUCAUCCUCUCGAUGGCUAGAUCUAGGUGCUCGUCCUUUUCCCCAUCACCACUGUGAUCUGAUCUCUCAUCAUUCCACGGGCAGGUCCGGUCUUCAAUCCUUCCUUCGUUGUCUUAGCGGACAGAUGUGGAAACAACACCGACAAUCAAUGAUGCGAUCUCUCAUCAUCCCUUUCAUCCCAUUGCCAGCUCCGAUCUUCCAUCCUUCCUCUGUUGUCUUGCGAACAUAUGUGGAAACGACACCGACAAUCAAUGAUAGCGUGGGCAAAUUACGAAGGAUCCCGGCGAUAAGCACUUGCCCUGGAAAUUGUUCAUUGCUUUCCUAUUUCUUGCUAUAG